CCGCCACCGCCCCAAAAUGGCGCAGGCGGGGGUGAAGGGCACCGGCGGGAGGGGGCGGGGGGAGCCGGCGGCGCCACUCACCUGCCGAGCCGUAGAAUCGUCAAGGUUGGAAGACACCUUUAAGAUGAAGUCCUAAGCGUCAACCGAGCCCUGCCGCUGUAACCCCUAAAGCACCAAACCACAUCGCCCAGCGCCAGGUCCAGACGCCUCUUAAACACCUCCAGGGGUGGCACGGCAGAAGGGACCGGCCACCACCGCGCUGCAACCUGCCUUCAGAUAGUUGCAUUGUUCUCCAGAAACACCGAUUAGCGAUGAUAUUUGCUCAGGAGGUUGGCACAUGCUCUCGGGAACGAUCUUGAGGUCAUUCAGAGCUCCUGGGAACUUAAGCUAUAUUUUUCUAGCUCUGAAGGCUGUGAGAAUGGUUUGUGUAACAGUCUGAUAAACAACCUAAUAAAGAAAGCAAAAAACUGAGUAGAACUUUUGUUCCUUUCCUGGAAAGGAAGAUCAGCAGAGUACGUCAGCAGGCAGAGAGAGAAAAAGGAGAAGUGUCCUCUCUGGAGCUGAAGAGUCUCAAGGGAAGAUUCACAGGGAUUUCUUACAAGAAAUGAAAUGUUAACAUUAGUGUUAAAAAGGAGUUCUUUCUGCAGGUGUGCCAUAAAUCCAAAAUAACUAACCGAAGUCAGUGCAGUUCCUGGGGAUUUGUGCUACUGUAAAUGAGAACAGAAUGGUCGUCUGACAACUCUACAUUUUGUUCCACGUAUCCCUGGAUACCCUUGUUGUGUGCAACAAGACAUGGAGAUAUGAGCAGUGGGAUUUUAAAUGGAUCUACAUUUAUAAUUCCAGUUAAAAUCAAGAGGAAAGGAGUGGAAAACAAACGGAACCUUUUUCUCUUCUGUGCCAUGCUCACACCAAAACAUCUGUCCGUCAGCUCUACUUCCUUCAAGUCCAGGAACACCGUGGUUAUAGGAGUGCUUAAAAAGCCUGUAUUUUUACUGUCAGAGGAUGCCGUUGACAUUCCUAGACAUGAAAAUACUUAAGAUUGCUGUAUACUGGUUUUUGGUUUUUUUUUUACUCUAUAAAUGGCAUUCUGAACUGUGCUGCCUGUAUCAAAUAGCUCCUGGAACAUCCCUCCUAAUCAGUUCCUUUUGGGAGCAGGAUUGUCGGGCUCGUUCUGAAGCCGUGCCAGUGCCGGCAGUGCAUGGGGACUACAGAUGAGAUCUUUGUUACAGAAGCAUGAGAUCAAUUCACCAUUCCGGGCCAUGUAGUAAAUGCAUUCCUGACUGAACGUUACAUCGUUUUUAUUUUCCUGGGACAGCAUUGCACUGUGUCUCCUCUCUGAAAGAGCUAUGUUCAUUAGAUACAGGAAGUCCUGCUAAUCAUCCAUAACGUUACAUUAACAGCUGCUGGUGCGUCUUUGAAUGCCCAGUGAUGAGGGGAGAGUUUGCAAGAGAUUUGGUGCUUCUUUGCUGUGAUUGUUUUCUUCAGCAUGCUUCAGAAUCCGAAGUUCUGUAAAAAAAAAAGGGCAGUUAAUCCUUAGGGUUGUGAGGAAAACUUUUAAAACAUGCACCAGAUGGAAAUCAAUGCAGUAGUGUCUUGCAAGCAGACAGAUAGGCUGAGAAGAAAUCUGAAGUCUGAUAUUAUUUGGAUUGAAGGAAAAAGAGCUGCAAAGCAGUCAUGCAACUUAGAUAUCAUCGAUGCAGAAUAUGCAAGUCUGCAGUGAGCUCUGUCUCAUUUCACAUCGUUGACAGCUUUGUUUUUGCCGGUGGCUCAAGAUAAACCCAAUUUUCCCUCCUGUUGAUUUGUGCUCCCUUUCUUUUGUAUAGACAACUUCCAUUACUUCCUUUGGCAGUGCACACGAUAACUGACUCAGGAACAGAGCUGACCGGAAAAAAAAGAUUUCCAGUCUAUAGACAAUAAAUUUAUACUUCUGCCCUUGUUUUAUGCACAUUUUUUUACAA